GUAGAGCACCAUGAGGAAGAUGAGGCCGAUGAGCGCCAGCACCAGCCCGAAGAAGACGUAGGAGGCUUCCAGCUCCGGGCCGGCGAGUUCCACUUCUUCCCCGCGACCGUAUGCAUCGCCGUCGGCACAGCGCAGCCGAGCCUCGUCCAGGUCCAGGAAAGGCCGGUCCUGCAGCGCCCGCGGGGCGGCGCAGCGCAGGCGCCGCGCGUCGGGUACGCGCUCAGUGGAGUUGCGCAGCCAGGCCAGCAGGGGGCGCGCGGCACAGCCGCAGCUCAGGGGGUUGUCGGCGAGCAGCAGGCGCGGCGCGGGGAGGCCGCCAUCGCGCUCGAGCGCGCGCAGCUCGUCGGGGCCCAGGCCGGUCAACGCGUUGAGGCGCGCGUCCAGCUGCUCCAGGCGCGGCCGGCUCAGAGCUGCGGGCGGCAGGCGGCUCAGCGCGUUGCCCGCCAGGCCCACCAGGCGCAGCUCGUCCAGCGGGGCGAGCGCGGUGUCCAGCGCGGCCAGCAGCGUGGGGCCGCCCCGCGCCAGCGCGUGGUUGAGCUGCAGGGAACGCAGCGCGGGCAGUCCGCGGAAGGCGCCGCCGCCCAGCGCGCGCAGAGGGUUGUUGCUCAGGUCGAGCGCCGUCAGGCUGGGCAGCCCGUCGAAGGCGCCGUCCUCCACCACCUCGAUAUUGUUGUGCGUGAGGCGCAGCGCGCUGAGGAGCGGCAGGCGCACGCCGCCCGCUGCUGCCUCCUCCUCCUCCCCGUCAGCGUCCCCGCCGGCGAAGGCGGCCGCGCGAAGCACGGUCAGGUUGGCGCCCACGAUGGUGAGGUUGCGCGCGUCGGGCGGCACGUCCCGCGGGGGCUGCCGGAGCUCGGCGCCCGACGCGCAGCGCAACAGCAGCUUGGGGCCGCCGAAGCAGUAGCACUGGAAGGGACAGGGCGCGGCGGGCCGGCUCAGCGCCGCCGCCACCAGCAGCAGCCCCGGCAGGAGCGGCCCCCUUUGCUCCGGCUGUCCCGAGCGCGGGGCCAUCGCAGCUGCCCCGGCAUCCAGCGCCCUGGCCGCCGCGCUCACCAGUGUUCCCCUUUUCUGUUCAAGUUCCCCUGGAACCAAGUCUGUGAGCUAUUUUGGAGUCUCUCUUCUCUGGAGGAACUUCUCUGUCCAUGUUGCCAUGCAUUCAGCACGCAGUAGGUGUUCAAUAAAUUGUUCCUGGAUCUGUCCACGGUGCUGAAUGUCUUUAUCCUUCUUGCCACUGCCUGCCUCAGAAUGGCUACUUCUAGAAG
rnacentral:lncRNA from 1 species